UUCGGCAGGGACGUGCUGGUGGGUGUCCUGUGGCUGAUGCAUCGGUCAGAGGGUUGUUGGGGGGAAGAGAGGAGGGGGACAGAGGGACUGACAGAUUGGAGAGAGAUGGGAGCUACGGGUUUCGACUGUGAGAGAGAGAGAGAGAGAGAGAGAGAGAGGAGAAACCAUGGUUGUGUGCAUUUUUUUGGGGUUAAUGGGUUACCGCACAGGGUCGGUGAGGAGAGAAUGGCAGAGGGAGGAAUGGGUUACCGCACAACUCUGUAAUUUCGCUCAAAUCCCUCACCGAUUCUCUCUCUCUAGCCAUUCUCAGUCUCGCCAGCCGCGUACAGCCCCCUGCUUUUUUUGGAUUUCACGUUAUUUACAAAUUUGCGACCGCCUCUUCAUUUCCGUUCAGAUUGCAAUUUUGGUUUUACGAGAGAGAGCUUCGAGAGAGCUGCGGCUUGCAGAAUCACGAUGAUGGAAGAAGAUGAAGCUCAGAAGUCUGAUAGAAGCUGUAAGUCCACAGUUAAAGAAGCUGUUUUCAAAUUGGGAGGAAUUGUUGAUUGGAAAGCCCAUAGAAUCCAAACCGUGGAGAAUUUUAGAAUUUUGGAUCAUUGGAGUGAGAACUUGGUUCUUUCGCAUUUUGAGCUCAGACCAUCACGAUUCACCAUCGUCACCCCAUCACCACCGUCGCGACCACCACUGCCCCAUCACCGCCAUCGAAAACACUACCAUACCAUCAUCCUGCAAAAGAUUAGGUCAGUCGUUCUGAUUAAUAUUAGGUAGGGUGCCCGUUGCAGAGAGAGGGAUUUCAGGGGUUUGCAAAUCCUUCCCCUUUACACAGAUGCGUAGUUUCUCUCUCAUUUCUCUCAAAUUCAAGAGACUUCUCUCUCUUCAUUUCUCUCAACCUCUAGCCCCAGCGCUGCUCACCCCCAUAUUCUUCUUCAUAAUCUCUCAUUUAUUUCAUCUUCUCUUAAAAAAAAAGCCCUAGCCGCUCAAUUUCUCUCAACCCUAGCUGUCCCUCAUCCAAUUUCUCUCAACCAUGGCCUCCAAUUUAGGCCUCGAGUUCACAAAAUGUGGAGAACUUUCUCUCGCCUGCAAAUGAAGGUGGCCGAGUACGAGGGCCCAUGGUGGACCGCCGCCAAAAAGCCCAACAAAUCCCCUUUGAGUCAGCUCAUAGCAGCCAAGAACGACUUGCGCGACAUCGACCGCCACUGCCUCUGGCUCAUCGGCUCCACGCAUUCUCAGGAAAUUAGGGUUGCUGAUGUUAGCAAUGGAUUGAGUCUUUCUGUUUGAUCAAACUAUAAGUCAAACUCCCAUUGCAGAGCAAACUAUGAGUCAAACCCCCAUUUUAGAGCAAACUGGGAACGAGGAGGCGCAAUCGGGCAUGGCUAUUUCCGGGGCAUCGGUCAUUUUGAGAUUCUGGUGUAAUUAGAAACUCGGGUCAUGGGAGGAAGAAGCUGGUUCGUUGCCAUUUUUAGACAAUACAAGGAUCUUGAACCCGAAGAAGACAACAAAUGUCAGGCAGCUAUGUACUGGUGAAAUACAAGCAUCUGUAUGUCAUUGAAAAAUCAGGUGAAAUACAGGUAUUUUUUUUUAAGGUUAAAUGUGUCUUAUUCAUGUUAUUAAGGUUGGUGCAUUCAAGCCUAGUAGCAACGCGUGGGCAUAUUUACUAGUAUGAUCGAUAGCAUGCGAAGUCCAGAACAGAAAAGAGCGUAACAGAUAGAACAAUCCACGCUUCAAAUGCUCCAUCGGGUCAAGGCGCAAAACUGUUUUUGAAGUAAAAAAGGUGUCACUUAAUGUUCUCAAAGUAGUGGAGCUAAACUUAUGAUUAGUUCCGGAAUAUUUGAGAUACAACUUGAGCUAAUGGAACGAACGAACAUGGAGUAGGGCAACAACAUAGUAGAAGGGUUGUCGAUUAUUAGAGCAAUAAUUGGGACUUGAUGCACCACAGAGAAAGUGGCAUAAUCGCCUCCGAGAACACCUACAGGGGCAAUGUGGAAGUCACGCUCGUGUCCUAAUUUUUUCCUUAACACCGCAAAUGAAUUGAGAUAAAUUUCUUUCUGAUGACCCAUUUACAGCCAAUGCAUCCUCUAAAGUUUGCCUUACUUUCUUGAUCUGUUUUGGUAAUCCAUCACCCGAAUUUCCACACAUCAGACAGUUGAUCUUCUCCCCUACUUCUGCCCUUGUGACGAGUUUAAUUGUAUGACAAAGAUUUAGUCCAAUCCCCCAAUCAUCAACUACUAGUUUCCUAUUAGUGAUUUGGUCAGUCCAUAGAGGAAAACACAACAUGGGAACACCACACCACAUGCUUUCAAGUGCGGAAUUCCAUCCACAAUGUGUUAAGAACCCUCCUACAGCUGGAUGCAAAAGCACCUCAAUCUGAGAGCACCAUGGCACCAUCAACCCUCUAUCUUUAGUCUCGUCCUCAAAUCCGACCGGCAUGAUACAUGUUUCAUCAUAACCUGUGUCCGGGCGAAGCACCCAGAUGAAACUUACUUUACUAAGCAAAAGUCCAUGAGCUAGUUCUUCGAAAUCAUUUUUAGUAAUAUACGAAGUUCAGAUUGAUUACAGUUUACGAACUCUACCCCACCUCUCGCUUGCAGCUUCCUUACAAACUGAUUUGUUGAAUUGGAAAUGGAAUUGGAGUUGGACUA